GGUGGCCAAGUGGUUAUAGUGUCCGCCUCGGAUGCGGGAGGUCGCGGGUUCGAACAUCGGCUGAGUCA